GGAUGUGAGGGCGAUCUGGCUGCGACAUCUGUCACCCCAUUGAUCGCCAGGGUUGAUUCGGCUGAUCUGGCUGGCUAGGCGGGUGUCCCCUUCCUCCCUCACCGCUCCAUGUGCGUCCCUCCCGAAGCUGCGCGCUCGGUGGAAGAGGACGAUGUCCCAGGUAUAGAAGGAGUGUACCGAGGUCUCCAGUUUUCGGUCCCGGGUAUACGACAGCUGCACUCCCCUGCUAGAACCUCCAAACAAACCCAGUCCUUAAUCCAUGUUAGCGCGGCGGCCUCAUAAUAAAGUUGUAAAUCCAGCAGGCUCAAGCCCCCUCGUCUUUUAUCAUCUUUUAGGUUUUGGUGUUUUA
rfam:Anolis carolinensis chromosome 1, whole genome shotgun sequence.